rnacentral:rRNA from 1 species
GACGAACGCUGGCGGCGUGCUUAACACAUGCAAGUCGAACGGAAAGGCCUUUUCGGAGGUACUCGAGUGGCGAACGGGUGAGUAACACGUGGGUGAUCUGCCCUGCACUCUGGGAUAUGCCUGGGAAACUGGGUCUAAUACCGGAUAGGACCGAACUUUAGUGUGUGUGGUGGAAAGUUUUUGAGGUGUAGGAUGGGGCCGGGGCCUAGCAGCUUGUUGGUGGGGUAAUGGCCUACCAAGGCGGCGACGGGUAGCCGGACUGGGAGGGUGGUCAGCCACAGUGGGACUGGGAUACGGCCCAGACUCCGACGGGUGGCAGCAGUGGGGGAGAGGGAACAAGGGGCGCAAGCGUGAUGCAGCGACGCCGCGGGGGGGAGGGCGGUCUUCGGGUUGGAAUCGCAUUUCGCCAGGGACGAAGCGGUUUGUGACGGUACCUGGAGAAGAAGCACCGGCUAACUACGUG